GACGUAGGGGGCGAGCGUUGUCCGGAUUUACUGGGCGUAAAGGGCGCGUAGGCGGCGACCCAAGUCAGAUGUGAAAGUCCUGGGCUUAACCUGGGGACUGCAUUUGAUACUGGGUUGCUUGAAUUCGGGAGAGGAUAGCGGAAUUCCCAGUGUAGAGGUGAAAUUCGUAGAUAUUGGGAAGAACACCGGUGGCGAAGGCGGCUAUCUGGACCGACAUUGACGCUGAGGCGCGAAAGCGUGGGGAGCAAACAGG
rnacentral:rRNA from 1 species